rnacentral:rRNA from 1 species
UGAGGAAUAUUGGUCAAUGGGCGAGAGCCUGAACCAGCCAUCCCGCGUGCAGGAUGACGGCCCUAUGGGUUGUAAACUGCUUUUCUGCUCCAAGAAACCUGAUUACGAGUAAUCAGUUGACGGUAGAGUAGGAAUAAGCAUCGGCUAACUCCGUGCCAGCAGCCGCGGUAAUACGGAGGAUGCAAGCGUUAUCCGGAUUCAUUGGGUUUAAAGGGUGCGCAGGUUGGAAUGUAAGUCAGUGGUGAAAUACUGCCGCUUAACGGUAGAACUGCCAUUGAUACUGCGUUUCUUGAGUAUGGUUGAGGUAGGUGGAAUGUGUUGUGUAGCGGUGAAAUGCAUAGAUAUGACACAGAACGCCGAUUGCGAAGGCAGCUUACUAAGCCAUUACUGACGCUGAGGC